GCUGUAUCCCACUCAGUGUGUGACCUUGGACGUUUGCUGAACCUGUCUCAACUGUCAAAUAGGGACGAUGAUGGGAACAAUACUGGCAGCAGGAACCUUCAUCUGCUCCAUAAAUCAGAGAAACCAUCACCCAGGCACUCAGAAAGAAAUGGCUAACACCAACCUUUGUGUUCUCAAGGAUCCCAUGAUAACUUCUCAUUAAGUACCAUUGAGGUGUA